rnacentral:misc_RNA from 1 species
GGAUGACUAGCAUAUGAUCAAAGCAUGGUGGUUGACAUGGACACAUGCACUGGAAACUUGUGAUUGCGAGAUUCCAUCUAAGUUGGAGUGAGCAAGUUUCCAUAAUUUGCAAUUUGAUUGGCUGACGGAUGACAAAACUAUUGGGCAAUGAGGAAACAUGUCCAUAAAAUCAGUGUUAGCAUGAGAAUACUAUGAUGGAUUUGUAUGAUACAAGAAAGGGC